rnacentral:rRNA from 1 species
AGUGAACGCUGGCGGCAUGCUUGACACAUGCAAGUCGCGCGCCUCGCAAGGGGAGCGGCGGACGGGUGAGUAACGCGUAGGAAUGUGUCCAGAGGUGGGGGACAACCCCGGGAAACUGGGGCUAAUACCGCAUAUGUCCUGAGGGACAAAGCAGUAAUGCGCCUUUGGAGCAGCCUGCGUCCGAUUAGGUAGUUGGUGGGGUAAUGGCCUACCAAGCCUGCGAUCGGUAGCUGGUGUGAGAGGAUGAUCAGCCACACUGGGACUGAGACACGGCCCAGACUCCUACGGGAGGCAGCAGUGGGGAAUAUUGGACAAUGGGCGCAAGCCUGAUCCAGCAAUGCCGCGUGGGUGAAGAAGGUCUUCGGAUCGUAAAGCCCUUUCGACAGGGACGAUGAUGACGGUACCUGUAGAAGAAGCCCCGGCUAACUUCGUGCCAGCCGCCGCCGUAAGAC